rnacentral:rRNA from 2 species
CGAAAGACGGACUUAGUGAUCCGGUGGUUCCGCAUGGAAGGGCCAUCGCUCAACGGAUAAAAGCUACCCCGGGGAUAACAGGCUUAUCUCCCCCAAGAGUUCACAUCGACGGGGAGGUUUGGCACCUCGAUGUCGGCUCAUCGCAUCCUGGGGCUGUAGUCGGUCCCAAGGGUUGGGCUGUUCGCCCAUUAAAGCGGUACGCGAGCUGGGUUCAGAACGUCGUGAGACAGUUCGGUCCCUAUCCGUCGUGGGCGUAGGAAAUUUGAGAGGAGCUGUCCUUAGUACGAGAGGACCGGGAUGGACAUACCUCUGGUGUACCAGUUGUCGUGCCAACGGCAUAGCUGGGUAGCUAUGUGUGGACGGGAUAAGUGCUGAAAGCAUCUAAGCAUGAAGCCCCCCUCAAGAUGAGAUUUCCCAACUUCGGUUAUAAGAUCCCUCAAAGAUGAUGAGGUUAAUAGGUUCGAGGUGGAAGCAUGGUGACAUGUGGAGCUGACGAAUACUAAUCGAUCGAAGACUUAAUCAAAA